UCAUUACUGCGCUAAGGAUAGAAGCGGUAUCAUCCUUUGUAAAGGAGAUUUAGCGAAUAGCCUGUUUAAGC
rnacentral:ncRNA from 1 species